rnacentral:rRNA from 1 species
UACGUAGGGGGCAAGCGUUGUCCGGAAUCAUUGGGCGUAAAGAGCGUGUAGGCGGCUCGGUAAGUCCGCUGUGAAAGUCCAGGGCUCAACCCUGGAAUGCCGGUGGAAACUGUCGAGCUAGAGUCCGGAAGAGGCGACUGGAAUUCCUGGUGUAGCGGUGAAAUGCGCAGAUAUCAGGAGGAACACCGAUGGCGAAGGCAGGUCUCUGGGCAUUAACUGACGCUGAGGAGCGAAAGCAUGGGGAGCGAACAGG